GCCCGCUUGGCACAGUGGUAAUGCGGUUAGUUCACUUGACUCCCCUUCCUUAUUCAUCCAGCUGACGGAAACGGUUAGUCUCACUCGUACUGAAUUUACGGCAAUGAGAAGAUCCACGGUUCGAUUCCGUGAGUGGGCA